UUAAACUAAGUAAAUGCCAAGAAACAAGCUAACUAAGUUGCAUAAAUAUGCUCCUAUCACCUGCACUCCCCAAAAUGUCGACUGUUACAUCUACAACAAAACGAAUUACCAGAACCACCAUAAUCUUUAUGCCUCUGAAAACGAGGUCCUCUAGAAAAUUCUACCACCUCUCAUUUGACCAGUGGAACGCUAACUCCCACUGGAAGAACUGGAACUAGCUCCACCUCUCUUAAAGCUUUAAGUCUUGUGAGGUCCCAAAGAUGAUUGACCUUUACCUUUAUCAUCUUUCUUUUGAUUUCCAUCAUUUUCUUCCUCAUCACUCUCACUAGGCAUGUUCUCUAAAUCUUCAAUUCGCAAUAGAAUCUCGUAAAACUCCUGAUAAGUAGCACAGGGAGUUGUGGUCGCCAUAGAAUGCCAUUUCAUUCGAGUACCCAACCUGAAACGAUGGAACAUCUUAACCGGAUUAGCAGCAACCUCCGGGUGAUAGCGAGAUAAAUCAGUAAACCUCCUGUAGUACUCAUUAGCCGUCAUCUUUUCCUGUUUUAGGUGCGUGAAUUCUUGCUUUUUGCGAUAUAUAUACUCUGGAGGAAUGAAUCUCUUCUGAAAUAACUGUUUAAAAACUUCCCAAUCAGCAACUUCCUCUGGUGAUAACUGAUAAGACUCCUGCCUCCACCAAGAUGCAGGCUAUUCACCUAUCCUCCGGAUGAUUCCCAUGUCUAUGCAUCAAACAAAAAGUCUUCUCAAGAUGAUUAAUCCAUUUCUCUGCUCAUUCAGACCCUUCAUUACCCAAGAAAUGAUUCAACUUCAGAUUACACACAGACUCCAAAUGAGUCCUUUGGGGAGGACGAAAUGAAGACUGAAUAGCAUUAGCUAUAGCUUUCCCUAACUGAGCAAGAUCAGGGGAACUAGGCUCAGCUGAAGGAUGUAGCUCUCUAUGAGGCGGCAUAGUUAUGACAUAUGACACCACAAUAAUUAGAAUAUUCACAAGAUAUGCAGGACUGCCAAACCUAGGCUCUGAUACCAAAUUGACACACCCCGACCUAGAUCGAGACAUGCUAGCCGUCAUGUGAGGGUGACGUACCCAUGUGCGCAGUGCGGAAAGACAUUGAUAAAACAAAAUGUGAAUAAGAUUUAAGCGUGAAUACACACAAUCAGAGCAUAAGUAGCCUAAGUGCAGAAAGUGUGAGUGGGCAAAAACAAAGCUUUUCAAAAUCGUUCAUUAUCAAAAGUAAUAACCUCUCGUCGUAAAACCUGUAUAAUUCCCAGAAAAUAGCAUGCCUGAUUAUAUCUCAAAUCAUAUUCAAAAUAGCAAAUCCACCGAAUAUACCAUGUCAAAUCUUAGAAAGAAAUAAGUAAGCCAGGUGAAAUAAAUCAAUAUGAAAUAGUAUGCAAGCCGGAGUCACAUAACGUUACCAGUACGGUUGAGUUUAUAACUCCUCAAUCAAAUUCUCUGCACACCAGUCGGAACCACCUAAUGUGGUCUGUACGACAGGAUGGGUGUAAAUAAAUACGCUCAAGUGUUACGGUCACGUGAAGGCUGUGCAAAGUAUCACAAGUCAUCUACGAGUCGGAACCACCUAAUGUGGUCUGUACGAUAGACUGACACCUGCCUUAGAUCCAAGGUGAGCGUGUGGUACGGGAGGUGAAUGAUCACGUGAAGGCUAAGCCCUGCCUCGAGCGGAGCACUAACACCAGGGUGCAGGACAAUGAGCUAUAAAUACAUCUCAACACAAUCAUACUCACUACCAUCAACCUACUCACCUGAAGCUUACCUGAGCGUCCGCAACGUCAAGCAACAAUAUAUAAAUAACCAUACUAAUGCAUAAUCAAACAUAGAACAUUUGACAUGGUAUUUCAAAAUAUCAAAUCAUUUAAUUAAGUUUUAUGGGAAAAAUACCAAGUGUGUGUAUGUGUGUGUGUGUGUAUAUAUAUACUGAAAACCAAAAGCCCACUCACUGAUAUGUAGAAGGGUCGUAGCCCUCGAGUCUGCUUGACUGCGCUCUUCCUCUGGAUAAGUCUCACCUAUAUGCGAAACAACUAUUUAAACGUUAUUUUAAGCACAUAACCAAAACUACGUAAUAACUUCUCAUAUGUUGCUCAAUUGAGGUAUUUGAAUAUACCAUUGUGGCCUACUCAACCCCACUAACAUCCCUAUAUUUUUAGAAAAAAAUUCCGAUCACUCAUGCACUGUCAUGCGCCGGCCAAGGCACAGCCACACGCGCAGGCAC
rnacentral:lncRNA from 1 species